rnacentral:lncRNA from 1 species
UCUAUUAUACACAGAAUUUAUGGUAGCAGCGGGGGAAAGGGGCAGGUAUCUUGGGUCCUUCUCACAUUUUCCUUGAAGAUGGAGACUCUGGGAAACCGGAACACCGCACAACUUGAGAACAGAAGAACCGAGGCUGCCACUAAUUGAGCCCCCAUGCGGUUCCAGGCAUGGGGUGACACUCAAGGCACAUGCUAUUCAUUAAAUAAUCAUCCUAAUGAGCUCACAAGUACCACGCGCUAACUAUGCAACAGGUAUCUUUACAACCACCUUAUGAGCCAGGAGGCCCACCCAUGGCUUGUGGGGCCACAGCUUACACAACUUGGGGGAUGCACUUUAUAAAAACGCAUAUCAAAUUACGAAUAAAAAUGAGAUAGGAGGUCCUGGAAGGGCUCCUGCGAGGGGGGGUGCCCUGAGGCUCACAAUUGGUCAGUCUUGGUCUGAUGGUACAAGUGACUGUCAACAGCAUCUGCUUUGAAAGACAAGGAAACUGAAACUCUGGGAAGUUGCGAAAACAGCCCCAGGCCCUCUCCGAAGCCAGUGACCGAGCCAGGUGGCGUCCAGGCCCUGGUGCCAUCCUCAGCGUGGAAAAGAAUGUCCUCAUUGUUUCAGAACCUUGACCGUCUUUUGGUAGAUCUGUAAACCUCGAGGACUGUUUAUCAUUCAUCAUUUUUCAAAGAGAAAUGGGGACAGACAUGACUGGCCUCUUUUGAGGUUAACUGGUUUCAAAUCCUGCUCUCCAGUGACACUAUAUUCAGUGGAAAUGGGAAAAAAAGGAUGCGGGGACCACCCCCCGCGGACACCCCUGCCCCCCAAGGACAGAAGUGGUCCCGUUCCCCCAGGAACUCUCUAUGCUGGGAGAUAAAGUCCCCUGAGUGUCUGGCUGCCCUUGUGAAAAGAAGGCCAGCUUCAAGGUGGUUGUCACACUCACUGUCUCUGCCCAGGAAGCCACCCAGGAAGGCAACAGACAAGACCCCAAGUCGGGGGUGACCCUCCCGCCACACACGGGUCUGUUCUCUGCCCUCGAAACACAUGGGGAGACCCCAUCUGGCAUCAAACCUUCACACUGCUCUCAAAACAAGGUCGUUUUCUCCCUGGAGCUUUUUAAAGAUAAAACUCUCUAACACUUCCUGCAAAUUUAUCAUCUCCUUUUCCUGAAAGGAGAUAACGGUGGAGCAGUGAGAAAGACGAUUGCCUGGGAGGGAAGAUAUGGUCCGUUUUGGCUCAUUCUCUGGUUCCACUGCCUGUGAAAACUGUGACACCUUAGCUGGGUCAUUUAACAGCGGGCUCUAAGGUUCCUUGUCUGAACACUUAGGUGAGGAGACUAUUAAUUACCCAGAGCGGGGAACUGAAGACAAUGCACUUGUAUUAUAUGUGUUACUGGGGAGUGGAAAAAUAAAUGGCAAGGGUGAGAGUCAGCUGAUGGAAGACAAGACAGCACUUCAAAUGAAUGAACUAGCACAUGUACACAGAUCCAAAAAAUUCAUGAUAAGGAGUUCCUGUUGUGGAGCAGCAGAAACAAAUCCAACUAGGAACCAUGGGGUUGUGGGUUCGAUCCCUGGCCUUGCACAGUGGGUUAAGGAUCCAGUGUUGCCGUGGGCUGUGGUGUAGGUCACAGACACGGCUCAGAUCCCGUGUUGCUGUGGCUCUGGCAUAGGCUGAUUAAACUCCUAGUGUGCCCUAAAAAAAUAAGAUAAAAUUUUUAAAAAUCAAGCACAAAUUGGUACAACCACUAUGGAAAACAGUAUGGAGGUACCUCAGAAAACUAUACAUAGAACUACCAUAUGACCCAGCAAUCCCACUCUUGGGCAUAUGUCUGGAUAAAACUCUCCUUGAAAUAGACACAUGUACCUGCAUGUUCACAGCAGCACUAUUCACAAAAGCCAAGACAUGGAAACAAUCUAAAUGUCCAUUGACAGAUGAAUGGAUUAAGAAGAUGUGGUGUAUAUAUACACAAUGGAAUACUACUCAGCCAUAAAAAGAAAAAAUAAUGCCAUUUGCAGCAACAUGGAUGGAACUAGAGACUCUCAUACUAAGUGAAAUAAGUCAGAAAGAGAAAGACAAAUACCAUAUGAUAUCACUUACAUCUGGAAUCUAAUUAUGGCACAGAAAAGAAUCUCAUGGACUUGAACAGACUUGUGGUUGCCAAGGAGGAAGGGGAAGGAGGGGGAUGGACUGGGUGUUUGGGGUUAACAGAUGCAAACUAUUGCCUUUGGAAUGGAUGAGCAAUGAGAUCCUGCUGUAUAGCACUGGGAACUCUAUCUAGUCACUUGUGAUGGAACAUGAUGGAGAAUAAUGUGAGAAAAAGAAUGUAUACCUAUAUGUGUGACUGGAUCACCUCACUGUAGAGCAGAAAACUGACAGAACACUGGAAACCAUCUAUAAUGGAAAAACUAAAAAUCAUUUAAAACAAAAAAAAUCAAGCUCAGGCCAACCACUUCCAAAAUAAGGCUGAUGGCUGCUUCUGAAGGCGGAAGGCCGGAGGAGGCAAAUAAAGGGGAUGCCCACUUGAUCUGUAACCUUGUCUUCCUUAUAAAUGGAAGAGACCAGAAGCAAAUAAAAAAAUGUUAAUACUUAUUAAUUCCCAGACGGACUAUGCUGGAAUCUGUUACAGUUUCCCUUAUAGUUUUACAACUGCUGUUGUUUCAAAAUAAAAUGGAAAAAAAAAAAGUGUCACGGAGAAGUUACAAGGAUUCAUUCAUUCACACAAUCGUGUGUUCGACAAAGAUUUAACAUCAACAAAUACUGGAGACAUUCUGGGCAUCAUCAAGACCCUGGGGGAAGGACAGUGAACAAAACAGCCCUGCUGCCUGUCUGCACAAGGUUCAGCACCUGCAGGCAAGGACCGGGGCUUGUGGAAACCGUGAGUCAAUGUGACGUUCCUGCCCGCAGUUCAGCUUAGGGAGGAGCAGGCUGCUGGGAGGAGGCGCUGGGCAAGGCGGGGUGUUAACUGCAGCUCCGCCACCCACCCCCAGGUGCCCAAGGAAGGCGGACUCACAGGCACAUUAGGAAAAUGAAGGAGCCGUCGCAGGUAGAACAUGUGACCCAACCCUACCUCCAAGAAGACACCCCACAAUGCUCGGUGGUCCCUUCACCUUGUCCCUGGGAAGAACCUACGGCUUUAAAUCCUAGCUCAGGAAUAUUGGGUGUGUAUCUGAAAUCAUCACGUCUAACAGCUGGAAUCAGGUCCAACGUCACGGCCCGUUCAGCCACAGUAACAGGAGACUGAUUUUUAAGAACUGAAGAGGAGAUUAACCUUUGGCUGGGAAGGGAACCAGGCUGGUGACAGGGGUCUCCAAACCAUGCCAUAUAGGGGCUGGGGGGAGGAGAGCCACAAAACUAAAGAGGGAGAAACCCCAACCAGCAAGACCUGGAGCUGACUUUGAAGGCAUGGCAUGUGGAAGAGGCAUGCGAUUUAUUCUAGAGAACUUAGAAUGACUAGAAGCAAGGCUACUUUGGUUCAGCACAAGGAUGACAACUAUAAUGAUCCCAGUGCCCAGGAGAAUAAAAGGCCUCUGCAAGGAGGUGGGAGUGAGCCUCCCAUCACUGAGGCCAUCCAAGGAGAUGAUGGAUGACUACUUUCCAGAGAAGCUGCAGGGGGAACUCAAGCACUAUCUGGGCUGUGAUUUUUUUAGAGGCCCUGAGUGUAGAGAGUUUAUGACUCUAACUUUAGGUUUUUGGAGACGAUACAACAGCCGCACAGGUGCGCUGCCUCUGCCCCACCAGUAACUGCCUCCUAAUCCCUUAAUAGUACCUUCCACCUUCAGCAACACCUUUACAAGAUUUUCCAAGUUCUCUCCUGUUCAUUUUCAUGCUUUGCCUCGAGACAGUGAAGAAAAUGGGGAGCCAUUCCUGGUAGAACACUGAGCCCAGCCCUGCCUCCAAGAAGACGCCCGACAAAUGGCUGGUGGUCCCACUAAGAAGAGGUGAUGGGAGAAAAGACCCUUGCCUGGGCACACGAGGACCCACCCUCCACAGGCCCAAAGCCCUGGAACCCUCCAGCCGGCUCCUUCCCCAGGCAGAGACCAGAGGGUGGAGGUCACCUCAAAAGGCUAGGUGUGCAGAGCCACCCCCAGGAGCCCAGAGCAGGGGGAUGGUGUGGAGGGUGCCUCCCCACCACUAUGAUCUCAUCUGGAUGGAGACAGGCAGCUGCCCUCUCCCUCCACCACCCAUGACCCUCUGCAGUCAGAUCCAGAACAGGCCCUCGCUCCCCAGCCUGCUGAGGUCAGAACAGCAGGCAACCUCAGGCCACCUCUAGGUCACCAAACUGAAGGCCAGCUGGAGACUUGGGAAUCUGAGAAACAUGACCGUUCUUGUCUAUUCCCCUCAGACACUGAUCCCAGGUGAGUCACUGCACCAGCAGAAGAAGUGAGUGGUGAACAGCAGAGAUCCUUACCGUCCCCAGAAGUUCUUUAGAAAAUGAUCAGGAGUCCACACAUGUACCAUUCACUCUGGCUGCAUAACAAACCAGCUCUGACAGGCAGCUCAAAACACCACCCACCAUUUAUUCUCAUCUCUCCUGGUUCUGGGGUGACUGGGGUCUCCUGUGGCUGCAGUCUGAUGGUGGCCGGGCUCAUCUAGAGGAUGCCUCCCCUCAUGAGUCUGGUUGCCACUGCUGGCCAUCCACAGUCAGCAAGGACGUUGGCUGGGCCAUCAGCGAAGCACCUGCACGCAGCCUCCAUGACGCUUGAGCUUCCUCCCACCCUGGCAGCCGGGUUCCAAGAGCAACCAUAGAAGCUGGUGGAAACCGUAUUGCCUGUGAUGACUCAGCUUUGGAAAGCACACAACUUCUGCUACAGUCCAUCCACUAGAAGUGGAUCAUGAAAGUCAGCCAAAUCCAAGAGGAGGAGAAUGAGAGUCCCUUUCAUGUCAAGAGAAAUGAUCAGAGCACUCGUGGGCAUGUUUCAAAACACCAUAAGGUAUAAUCCUUCCUUGGGGGCUACAGUAUUGUUUUAGCUUUCAAGGGGCCCAGAUGCCUCAAAUUCCAGGUGGGAAUUACCUCCCAUCGUGCCAGGCUCUGGGCAAAAGAACAUCACCCAGCUGGAUAUAUUUUUUUGGACGCCUUUAGAAGUCCCACUUUUGGGAGGGCUCUAGAAACAUGAAAGCAUGCAGGACCUAACUACCAGGGCUACAAGGUUCCCUGCUUUAAACAUAUCCAGUCACUUUGAAAGAUAAUUGGGUGCAAAAUACGGAUUCCAUCUCACACCAGAGAGAGCCCAGUGAGGAGGGUGGGAAAUGGUCACCGAGGGAUGGAUACACUGGCUUUUGACCCUGGAGCUGGAAAAGUCAGGGACUGCCCUUAAAAUAACACGGAUGCCGGACAGUAAAGGAGAGUCCGCAUGUCUGCAGUACCAGCACGUUUCCCAGUUUCUGUUCAGCGUUCCCAUUCAGUCUUGCCUCUGACUCGACAUGAGUAUCAGACCUCAGGCCCCAGCAAAUCUUCUAGAAAGAAACUUUCACUUUUCAGCUGCUUGCAAAAGGAACAGACCUGCCUGGUGCACAAAGGCUCUGUUUUCUUGCCGAAGGACGUAAGGCAGGAUUUUCUGGGUUUCCCCUCUUCUCAAUGUUGACAUGCGCUGAGCUCCCCUGGGGUCCCCAAAGGCCAACACAGGCCCAAAGGUGGUCAGGUGAAUGAGGAGGGGAGGGGUGUCUGCCGGUUUUCACAAGCACCCUCUGCUCUCGGCCUGGCCUGAAGGGCUCCUCUGCCGGGUCCACCGAAGCUGCUGCUUGUGGCAGGAGAACCUGGCAAGACGUCGGCGCUUGUCCAAACACACACUGGGAUACAGCGACAAUGAACGGGGGGAUCCGCCUAGCUAGACAAACCCACGCACACACCGAGAACCGAGAGCCGAUACGUGCUUUUCCUGGGUUAGGACAAGCUGGCCAACCUCUUCAACAACAUGCAAGCACGUCCCUGGAAAAGGGGGAGUGGGUGUUUUGCAAUGGCUGCUGUGGCCCUGCUCACCCUCCCUCUCCUUGAGUCUUGGGUGCUCACAGGCCCAUCUUCCAAUGGCCAGCACCUGCCCUCCUUCACCUAGGUGCUGCCUCUACUCACAGGCACUGCUCUGCUGUGCAAGGGACAGGCCAGGAUGGACCAGGGCAUUGCCGCCCCCCGCUGUGCGCCCCGGCAGCAGCCCUCACCUGGUGACCAAUGGGAGCUGGUGUGUCUUCCAUGCCCAGGCAGGAAGACGCCGAGGUGUCCUCUACACUCCAUUCCAGGUCAUUAUCCCCGCUGCCCGCAGGGGUAACUGGCCGGGCACUGGCCACCUUGCCCACCUCCCUGUCUCUCUUCCCCACUUCCAGCUCUCAGGUGUUAACUGGGCCCAAAUAAGCCACAUGCGCCCAAACUCUCAUCUUGCCCUCUGCCUCUAAAGGAACCAAAACUGAGUCAAGGUAGCUGACGGUUACAGGAAGAAAUUAAUGAUGGCCAGGAGCGUGCCAGCAUCAUGUUGUGUCUGUGCAUCUCAGAAGACCCGCUCCAUGUCAGCCUGUGUGUCAGGAAGUAACAAGUAAACAAGGAACACAAAGAAACAAAUGAGGAGUUCCUUUCGUGGCUCCACAGUUAACGAAUCCGACUAGGAACCAUGAGGUUGUGGGUUCGCUCCCUGGCCUCACUUAGUGGGUUAAAGAUCCAGCAUUGCUGUGAGCUAUGGUAUAGGUCACAGACGUGGCUUGGAUCCUGCGCUGCUGUGGCUGUGGUGUAGGCUGACAGCUGUAGUUCCGAUUCCACCCCUAGUCUGGGAACAUCCAUAUGCUGUGGGGGCGGCCCUAAAAAGCAAGAAAAAAAAAAAUGAAGAUUGGUGCCAAUAAAGGAUUCUGCUGGGACUGAGCUGGUCUGGGAAAACGAGGCUCUUACCCUUUCCAAAGACCCCAACACACACACACACACACAGUUCCCAUUUUAGCGCGAGGCUGGUCCCCUUCCCCACCCGAACAUCUAGUUCCCAGGGCACUUUGACAAGAUCACCUUUCUUCAAGUGGCAUCUUUAAAAAGGAUACAAACGAACUUAUUUGCAGAACAGAAGCAGACUCCCAGCCUUUGAAAAACUUAUGGUUACCAAAGGGGACAGGUGGUGAGGGGUGCACUGGGGGGGUGGGGAUUGUCACAUGCACACCAUCGUAUACGGGAUGAUUGGCCAACGGGCACCUGCUGUAGAGCCCAGGGGACUCGACCCAGUAUUCUGCAGGAAAAGAAUCUGAACAAAAAUGAAUGUGGGGACACGUAGAACCAAAUCACUUUGCGGCACAGCAGAGAGAAUGAUCACCACACUGUACAUCAACUGGACAUUGAUAAAACUUUAAAAACCGAAGAAGAAGAAAAAAAAGAAAAAAGAAUGCCUGUCUCUCUCUGAUGCUAUUUGUGACAAGGAGUGUGUCCAGCUCCAAAGGGGAAGAACGUCACACGGGCCCCUGGAAGCAACUUCCACUGCAGAACACGUGUGGCUGUUGACGCCAUAAAUCAGACAGUUUUUGGUACCCGCAUGGCUCUCUUCUCCCUUCCCCUGCCCUCUCCUUCCCUUCGCACCACCUCAAGGUUGCGGAGUCCAGCUCAUGGUUCCACUCUGGAGGGAUGUGGGAGGGGACCUUUCCAAAACUAACCUUCCCUGGCCAACCAAAGCUCUUAAUAAUCUGCCAGACAUCACAAAGAUCUCUUUGAAAGCUGACCUAAAGGAUGUAGCUAAGAAAAGGGACCAAAAUCUAUAAGGCACUUCCUGGAGAGAAAUACACCCAACCUACCAACAUUUAUGUGAGAAGUUUGUCUUAUGUGUAUGUUAUGUGUAUAGAUGUCUGCCUACAUGGGUGGGUGGGUGUGUGUAUGUGUGUGUCUGUACAGUCAAGGAUGUAUUUACACAGAAAAACAUGAGUGAAUCUCAAAAAUAGCAUGCCGCUCGCUGAAGGAGGCUUAUGUCAAAGAGCAAAGAGUGUAUGGAAAGUUCCACAACAAGCCCAAGCUAAUCUACGGUGAUGAAAUCAGAAGAGUGGUUGUGCAGGGGUGGGCUGGGCUGAGGAUUUCCUGAAAGGUGGACAUGAGGAAACUUCCUGGAAUGACGGUAUGUUCUCUAUCUUGAUGGAAUUGGGGCCCUAGAGACAUAUAUAGGAACCCACUGAAAGUACACUUAGGGCUUAGAAACAUCCCUGUGUCUAAGUGUUAGCCCAAAAGAGGGGUAAAUAAAUCCUACACUCUAGUUAAUGAUACGCAGGUGAAACUAUGAGAGAUGGAGUGUAUUUCUCUCUGCAAAUUACUUGGAAAUCCACUGAAGAAAACAGGGUGGAUCGAUGGAUGGAUACUGGCAGAGGUGGAGAUAGGAACAAACUUAUGCUAAAACCAGUACAGUGAAAUGCAAAUUACAGAACAUAGGUGCCGAGGCCGUGGGUGUUCACUGUACAAUUCUUUCCAUUUUUUUUGUUAUGUUUGCAAAUUUUCAUAAUAAAAUGCUGGAGCGGGAGAAGAAAAAA